rnacentral:rRNA from 1 species
AGUGAACGCUGGCGGUAGGCCUAACACAUGCAAGUCGAACGGCAGCACAGUAAGAGCUUGCUCUUACGGGUGGCGAGUGGCGGACGGGUGAGGAAUACAUCGGAAUCUACUUUUUCGUGGGGGAUAACGUAGGGAAACUUACGCUAAUACCGCAUACGACCUACGGGUGAAAGCAGGGGAUCUUCGGACCUUGCGCGAUUGAAUGAGCCGAUGUCGGAUUAGCUAGUUGGCGGGGUAAAGGCCCACCAAGGCGACGAUCCGUAACUGGUCUGAGAGGAUGAUCAGCCACACUGGAACUGAGACACGGUCCAGACUCCUACGGGAGGCAGCAGUGGGGAAUAUUGGACAAUGGGCGCAAGCCUGAUCCAGCCAUACCGCGUGGGUGAAGAAGGCCUUCGGGUUGUAAAGCUCUUUUGUUGGGAAAGAAAAGCAGCAGGUUAAUACCCCGCUGUUCUGACGGUACCCAAAGAAUAAGCACCGGCUAACUUCGUG